rnacentral:rRNA from 1 species
AGACGCAAGAUAGACCAUGUUAAACACUCCCUGAUAAGGGAUUAAACCAACUGGAUCCUCUCCUAAUGUCUUUGGUUGGGGCGACCGCGGGGAAACAGAAAACCCCCACGUGGAACGGGAGCACCCCCUCCUACAACUAAGAGCUCCUGCUCUAGUUAACAGAAUUUCUGACCAAUAAGAUCCGGCAGCGCCGAUCAACGAACCGAGUUACUCUAGGGAUAACAGCGCAAUCCCCUUUUAGAGCCCAUAUCGACAAGGGGGUUUACGACCUCGAUGUUGGAUCAGGACAUCCUAAUGGUGCAGCCGCUAUUAAG